AAAGCAGGUCGCAAUUACAGUGCUUCAUCCUGUGGGAGUACUGCCAUUAUCCUGCUGAAAGAAAAACCAUGUUGACUGUUUCUGAUUUUACUUAUUGGGAGUAAAAUCAUGACACCUUGACAUGAACAGCA